GACGAACGCUGGCGGCGUGCUUUACACAUGCAAGUCGAACGGUGACCCAUCUUCGGAUGGCGAUCGGUGGCGAACGGGUGAGUAACACGUGGGCAACCUGCCCCUAGCUCUGGGAUAACUCCUCGAAAGAGGUGCUAAUACCGGAUAUCAUCUUCCCCGGCAUCGGGGAAGGUCGAAAGUUUUUCGGAUAGGGAAGGGCCCGCGGCCUAUCAGCUUGUUGGUGGGGUAAUGGCCUACCAAGGCGACGACGGGUAGCCGGCCUGAGAGGGCGACCGGCCACACUGGGACUGAGACACGGCCCAGACUCCUACGGGAGGCAGCAGUGGGGAAUAUUGCGCAAUGGGCGAAAGCCUGACGCAGCAACGCCGCGUGAGGGAAGACGGCCUUCGGGUUGUAAACCUCUUUUCGC
rnacentral:rRNA from 1 species